CUAUAAAAACUUCACAUCAGACUGUCAGUGGAGUUCACAGCACGUCAGUUUCACUGUAAACCAUGUUCUCUGUAGCUCUGCUGCUGCUGUUGGCAGCUGGAUCCUAUGUGAAGUGUGAACAGUUGACACAACCUGCCUCUGUGACUGUGCAGCCAGGUCAACGUCUGACCAUCACCUGUCAGGUUUCUUAUUCUGUUAGCAGCUACUUUACAGCUUGGAUCAGACAGCCUGCAGGGAAAGGACUGGAGUGGAUUGGAAGUGGAGCUACUGGAGCUUCAUACUACAAAGAUUCACUAAAGAACAAGUUCAGUAUCGACUUUGACUCUUCCAGCAACACAGUGACUCUAAACGGACAGAAUGUGCAGCCUGAAGACACUGCUGUGUAUUACUGUGCCAGAGACCCACAAUAACACAAACCAUCAGUAGAUCAGUGCCUGAACACUUGUAACAUGAAGCCACCAGAGGAGGAGCCCUCAGACCACAAAUGAAUUCAGACCAGUUCACUGUUGCAGUAAAGGGGAAAUUAUUUUUAUAAAAGAUUCUUAAUUUAAUAUAACAGUAACUAUUUCCAUCAAUUUAAAUACUCUGAUUUUAAAAUCACUGGUACAUUACUGUCUGUAUUCCCGCAGUAAAACACAAUUAAAAAUUCGAGUAA